AUUGAACGCUGGCGGCAUGCCUUACACAUGCAAGUCGAACGGCAGCACGGGAGCAAUCCUGGUGGCGAGUGGCGAACGGGUGAGUAAUAUAUCGGAACGUGCCCAGUCGUGGGGGAUAACGCAGCGAAAGCUGUGCUAAUACCGCAUACGAUCUAAGGAUGAAAGCGGGGGAUCGCAAGACCUCGCGCGAUUGGAGCGGCCGAUAUCAGAUUAGCUAGUUGGUGGGGUAAAGGCCCACCAAGGCGACGAUCUGUAGCUGGUCUGAGAGGACGACCAGCCACACUGGAACUGAGACACGGUCCAGACUCCUACGGGAGGCAGCAGUGGGGAAUUUUGGACAAUGGGCGCAAGCCUGAUCCAGCAAUGCCGCGUGCAGGAUGAAGGCCUUCGGGUUGUAAACUGCUUAUGUACGGAACGAAACAGCCCUUUCUAAUACAGGGGGCUAAUGACGGUACCGUAAGAAUAAGCACCGGCUAACUACGUGCCAGCCGCCGCAGUAACAC
rnacentral:rRNA from 1 species